ACACUCUCACUUCGGCAGCGCAUCCACUGAGACUGGGAUGAUACAGAGAAGAUUAGCGUGGCCUCUGCACAAGGAGGACAUGCAAAUCUGGAAAGCUGAACCUUUU